UACGGAGGGUGCAAGCGUUAAUCGGAAUUACUGGGCGUAAAGCGUGCGUAGGCGGUUCGUUAAGUCUGUUGUGAAAGCCCCGGGCUCAACCUGGGAAUGGCAAUGGAUACUGGCGAGCUAGAGUGUGUCAGAGGAUGGUGGAAUUCCCGGUGUAGCGGUGAAAUGCGUAGAUAUCUGGAGGAACACCGGUGGCGAAGGCGGCAUUCUGGACCGAUAUUGACGCUGAGGAGCGAAAGCCAGGGGAGCAAAACGGGA
rnacentral:rRNA from 1 species